CCUACGGGGGGCAGCAGUGGGGAAUAUUGGGCAAUGGAGGCAACUCUGACCCAGCAACGCCGCGUGAAUGAUGAAGGUCUUCGGAUUGUAAAGUUCUUUUCUAAGGGAAGAAGAAAGUGACGGUACCUUAGGAAUAAGCCUCGGCUAACUACGUGCCAGCAGCCGCGGUAAUACGUAGGCGGCAAGCGUUAUCCGGAAUGACUGGGCGUAAAGGGUGCGUAGGUGGUUUGACAAGUUGGUAGCGUAACUCCGGGGCUCAACUUAGGAACUACUACCAAAACUGUUGGACUCGAGUGCAGGGGGGGCAACUGGAAUUUCUAGUGUAGCGGUGGAAUGCGUAGAUAUUAGGAAGAACACCGGUGGCGAAGGCGAGUUGCUGGACUGUAACUGACACUGAGGCACGAAAGCGUGGGGAGCAAACAGGAUUAGAUACCCCUGUAGUC
rnacentral:rRNA from 1 species